rnacentral:misc_RNA from 1 species
CCGAGUAACGGGGCUUCUAGCCUCGACUCCCACCCAAUGUUGACUUUACGAUGGUUGCUUUGGCGGACCGGUGGCCUUCUCGCCGCCGCCGGCCCUCGGGCUGGAGAGCGUCCGCCAGAGGAUUUUCCAAAACUCUUGUUAAACCGUGAAAUUCUGAGUUUGCUUGCAAAUGAAUCA